AUUCUUCUCAUUUCAUCAAGGCUUUUGUAUAUUGUUUUUAAAAUAACCUCAAAUUCUCUAACAGAACUCCAAAAAAGAAGCAUCCAGUCAAAUGAACAAGUUGGCAAGUUGUAAAUGUGUAUGUAAAUGCAAUAAAAGGCCAGUGAGACAGAAGAUGAUUUGUCUUUGUACUGUCAAGAAAUCAUCGCUGAAGACCCUGAAGAAAUGACAGAUGUUAAUCUUCAGACACCUGUGAAAACCAAACACUGCUUUUCUCCAAACCCUGAAGUAAUAAGACUGAACUUCAUCCUCCAUCAAUGACAUUGACUGAACUAAAGUAUAAUACAGUAUAACCGGGGGAAUCUCAACAGAGGAGGCUGUUUAGCGGAUCAUGGGAGG